AAACAUUUUUGGGAGGAAAAUGUUUUUGAUUUAGCCUGCUCAAUGCUGUAAAUAGCUGCAGUAUCAUAACUGUACAAAGGUAGCAUAAUCAGUAGUCUUCUAACUGGAGGCUUGUAUGAAUGGUUGAACAGAAUAUUCUUUAGUUUAUGUGAAUUUUAAUUUCAUGUAAAAAUGCUUGAUUAUAAAAAAGGGACGAUAAGACCCUAUAGAAUUUUAAACUGAAAGUUUUUGUUGGGGUGACGAAAUUAACUUUCUUAAUAAAUAUUUUACAGUAAUUUUGGAUCCUAAUUUAGAUUAAAAGAUGAAAUUACCUUAGGGAUAACAGCGUAAUUUUUCUUUUAAGUUCAUAUUUGUAGAAAAGGUUACGACCUCGAUGUUGAAUUAAAUUACUUUUUGGCGGAGAAGCUUAAAU
rnacentral:rRNA from 1 species